rnacentral:rRNA from 1 species
GAUUCUGGUGUCCUAGGCGUAGAGGAACCACACCAACCCAUCCCGAAUUUGGUGGUUAAAUUCUACUGCGGUGACAAUACUGUCGGGGAGGCCUUGCGGAAAAAGAGCUCGGCGCCAGGAU